rnacentral:rRNA from 1 species
GACGAACGCUGGCGGCGUGCCUAAUACAUGCAAGUAGAACGCUGAAGGAGGAGCUUGCUCUUCUGGAUGAGUUGCGAACGGGUGAGUAACGCGUAGGUAACCUGCCUGGUAGCGGGGGAUAACUAUUGGAAACGAUAGCUAAUACCGCAUAACAGUAGAUGUUGCAUGACAUUUACUUAAAAGGUGCAAUUGCAUCACUACCAGAUGGACCUGCGUUGUAUUAGCUAGUUGGUGGGGUAACGGCUCACCAAGGCGACGAUACAUAGCCGACCGAGAGGGUGAUCGGCCACACUGGGACUGAGACACGGCCCAGACUCCUACGGGAGGCAGCAGUAGGGAAUCUUCGGCAAUGGACGGAAGUCUGACCGAGCAACGCCGCGUGAGUGAAGAAGGUUUUCGGAUCGUAAAGCUCUGUUGUAAGAGAAGAACGAGUGUGAGAGUGGAAAGUUCACACUGUGACGGUAUCUUACCAGAAAGGGACGGCUAACUACGUG